CCUACGGGAGGCAGCAGUGAGGAAUAUUGGUCAAUGGGCGCGAGCCUGAACCAGCCAAGUAGCGUGAAGGAUGACUGCCCUACGGGUUGUAAACUUCUUUUAUAAAGGAAUAAAGUGAGGCACGUGUGCCUUUUUGUAUGUCCUUUAUGAAUAAGGAUCGGCUAACUCCGUGCCAGCAGCCGCGGUAAUACGGAGGUUCGGAGCGUUAGCCGGAUUUUUUGGGUUUAAAGGGAGAGUAGAUGGGUUGUUAAGUCAGUUGUGAAAGUUUGUGGCUCAACCGUAAAAUUGCAAUUGAUACUGGCAGCCUUGAGUACAGUUGAGGUAGGCGGAAUUCGUGGUGUAGCGGUGAAAUGCUUAGAUAUCACGAAGAACUCCGAUUGCGAAGGCAGCCUACUAAACUGCCACUGACAUUGAUGCUCGAAAGUGUGGGUAUCAAACAGGAUUAGAUACCCUUGUAGUC
rnacentral:rRNA from 1 species